rnacentral:sRNA from 1 species
CCUUUCUCGUUCCCCGGCCAUCUUAGCGGCUGCUGUUGGUUGGGGGCCGUCCCGCACCUAAGGCAGGAAGAUGGUGGCCGCAAAGAAGACGAAAAAGUCGCUGGAGUCGAUCAACUCUAGGCUCCAACUCGUUAUGAAAAGUGGGAAGUACGUCCUGGGGUACAAGCAGACUCUGAAGAUGAUCAGACAAGGCAAAGCGAAAUUGGUCAUUCUGGCAAACAACUGCCCAGCUUUGAGGUAAUCGAAGAAACUGAACGGGCUUCGCCUACCGCGAAUUCAUCGUGAACGAAUAUACAGGAGUGUAAACUUGUAAUCUGAGUACCAUGAACUCGAACACUUGCAGGAUAAUUACGGUAGCGAUUGUGGUGUUUGGCCCUUCAUUCCCGUCUCCCCCACCCACCCCCAAAUCAUGUGCUCCCCUUGUGCGAGCUUAUUUUUGGAGGAGAAAUGUGUGUGUGGCAGGAUUGAAAACAGAACAUCGAGGUUUAAUGGAAACACAGACACAUUAUUUGUUUUUUCCAUGUAUUUUGUGUCCUGCUUUUUUGGUUCUUUUAGCUUUGAGGUGCUUUAAUGAUGCUUCAUUGUGUGAACUUGUUUUAGUGUCAAAAAACUAGGUAGGAAAAGUUGAGGCUGGGCUAUGGAGUUGCAGGCUAUCAUAGAAUCACCUAGUUUAGCCCGCUAAAUCAGUUCUGAGUCAAGAUUUACGCUUGACUCACUGUUUUGAAAUUGAACUUAGGGGGUGUUGU